GAAGGUUAAGUUAAAAAUAAUUACGACACUUCAAAAUAUAUACUUUUUAACUGUGCUCGGAUUCGUCUUUCGUCGGCAGUGGUUUAUCAUAACUUGCAUAUAUAAAUUAAAUAACCUUAUGUAUCCCACCUUCUCCACUACUCACCUAAAACAGUUGCAGCACUCAUCCCCAGUAUCAGCUCUUUUUUUUAUAUAAAAUGUGUUAUUAAUCUUUUAGUUGAGAAAUGUUAAUGUAAGUGUAAGUGUACAUAUAAAUAUGUUUAGAAUAUAUUAGACAAUGUAAAUAUAAUAUAAGUGUAAAACAUAUUAUGAAAAAAGCCGGGCAACUUCAUGCGUGGUUGGGCCACUG